UGAGCACCCAUUUCCUGUGAGUAGAAGAGGAAUGCAGGAAGCUUUCACCAGUGGGGACUGGGGAGCAUCCAGAUGGUCGUCUUGGGGCAGCGGCGCUAAUUACACUUCAGAGGCAGGAAUUUAGUCCCUUCCGCGAUCCGAUCCUGACAGUAAAUGAGACAACAGAGACUAGAACAACAGGCCCCAGCCUCCCCAAUUACAAGUGGUUAUGUCAAGACUUAGGAGGAUAAGGUAAUUAGUGAUUCUUGCCAAAUGACUACAUGACCGCAACAUGUGACUAUACCCUAAAGGCUGAGGAUCAGGCAGAGGGGACCUAAGCGUGUGAGAGUGCAUUUCCGAAAGUCG